rnacentral:tRNA from 1 species
GCGGCCUUAGUUUAAUGGUAGAACACUUGGCUUCCAACCAAGGAAUAAGAGUUCGAUUCUCUUAGGCCGCA